rnacentral:snRNA from 1 species
GGGUGUUAGGAACUUUGCUAAGAACUUUACAUCUCUCACCAUGUUGAUUUGUCUAAUCUACCGGGGUAGGUAUGUGUGCCCUACAUCCCUCACUACUCCGUGUAAGUCCCUCCCCAGCCUGUGGGCACAAAGAGAAUGACCUUCCUCAUAGACGGGAACUCAUUUGUCCAAUAAGCUUAUAGGAGUCACCAUGAUCCCCUGCUCGAGCCUCCUAACAAUCUUUCAAAGUCCAUUUCUAAGAGAAUAAAACAUAGUUCAUUUUUAAAAUACACAUUAAAAAUUUU